CAUUAAUAUGUUAAAAAAAUCAGAAUAAUAGUUUGAAAGAGUAGAUUGAGAGAGAGAGAGAGAUACAAGGAAAGGAUACAGAGGGCCUUCAACAGGGAUGAUAAAACAUUUUAUUUCCUAGUCUAAGUGGCAGAUACAUGGCUGGUUGUUUUAUUAUUCCUUAAACAUUAAAGAUGCAAUGUAUGCACACAUACCUACACACACACACACACACACACCUACUGGCAUAUAUGACAAAAAAAUAUAAUAAGUGCCAGGGCCUAUGCUUAGUGAGCUCACAGACUCAAAUGGAAGCCAGACAUCAUCACAACUAAUAUAUUACACAAUGAGAUCAUAAGAAAUAUAAAGAAGGACUUCAUUCUGGCUACUUCUAUGACCUUGGGUAAGUCAUUUUAUUUCUUGAAGCCUGAGGCUCUUCUGAUACAUCUAGAUAGAUAGAUAGAUAGAUAGAUAGAUAGAUAGAUAGAUAGAUAGAUAGAUGAUACACACACAUGUGUAUAUAAUAGGUUUAUUGUGAGACUCAGUUGAUAUGUACUGCAUGAUAAAAUGUCUGACAAACUGUAAAACGUGUGAGAUAAUAUUAUCACUCUGGGCAUCUUUGCAACUGCUUCUUUCUUCUGUGAAACUGUUAUCCCACACAGUUUUAUGCUCAAGUGGCAGUCUGAGCGAAGCAGGUUGUAAGUGACUGUAAAUUAUUCUCAAUCUAACAUAUUUUGUGUCUAGCACAAUGAGGGACAGAAAUAAAGGCGGCACGGGCUACUACUGAAUAGCUCGUAAUUGCCGGAACAGGGACUUGGAGCUUCAGAGACCCCUGAGAGGACUGGUCCAGGGGGACUAGGAUUUUGAACUUGUGGGCCAAUGGGGGGUUAGUGCUGAGAGGAGAGCCCUGUGCCUCCCCUUCCCUAGGGGCUCUUUCAGUCCAGCCAGUGGACCCCCACUGCCAUCGCCGCACCAGGCCCUGGAGGGUGCUGCUCCCCAGUGCUCAGGCCGAAACAUGAACACAGAUCCCUCCUCCCAGCUCUUAGCAGCCUAAGGAAGUGCAGGAACACUCUGGCUUCUCAUGCUGCCAGGGUAAGCUCUCAUUCAGGAUUACCAGGCCCCAUUAUUGCCCCUCUGCCCUAGGAGACACCUAGCACCGACCAGCAGCAGUACAGCUCUGCAGGUUCCCUGCUCAAGGUCCUGACCUUUGCCAUCUCCAUGUGAGGAGUCCCACCCCAAGGCUUGGAGGUUUGUUCUCAGGAAUAAAGUGAGAGUUCAUUAGUAAGACUUAGGAGUCUAGGUUCAAGGACACUCCAGGCAAAUUGACUCCGAAUGUUGUCUCUCUUGGGAUAGAGUAUGUCCCAGAGAUUAGGGGAGACCCAAGUCUCAGGUUGGAGUUAGAGUCCCACCCGAUCAGGUGACAUACACAAACAGGGUAAUUUGAGGAGAGUUUAAAGUAGGGCUGUUUUCAAAGGGAUGGCAGGGGAUGGAGAAACCACAAGGGAGAACGCAGAAGCCUGCAGAGCUCCCCGAGGACCAGUAACAGUGGGUGCUGUUACCAACCCAGACCCAAAUGGGCACAGAGAGGAGAAGCAUCUGGACUCUGGGCAGGGAGGCCUGCGAAGGAUGCCGCUUGAUGGGAGAUGCGCUUUUCACUGGAGGAAUGCAGCAGGACCUUGGAGAGCCUGAAGACAGGGAGCCUGGCAAAUAAGUACCUCAACCUCGCACUCCUCCCUCCCUUCCAACUCUAGCCAGUCGGCCUAACCCACCUGGGAGCCAAAGCACAAGGAAACUCACUGCUGUAUUCCAGAAAGAGCAGGUUGCAGGGCACAGAGCCAGCAGCAGGUUGAAAUUUCCCAUCAACUGUUUUCAAGGACAUUUAGAAGCAAAGCUGUAGCAGACGCUCCAUUAUUUACUUUAUGAAGCAAGUGACUUAGUGGCAAGACUCCGGUGCAACAGCGCAGAAGAUCUGGGGCACCAGUCCUGACAUCUCAGCACAGCCAACUUGGCAGUCACUCUGUGAUUCCGUUUUCUAAGUCACAAAACUGUUUCUUUGAAAUCUCCCUUUAAAAUUGCUCCAUUUCUCUGAUGCAGCAAGAAGGCAAGAGACAAUAAUUGCUUUCCAGUGGACUCAUGCCCACGAAAACAAACCCAAGGGUACUGCCGCUAAAAAGAAUCCAGUCUGCCCCACUUCCUAUUUAUUUGGCUUUGGGGAGCCGGACAGCGCGCGGCCGAGGACGGCGGGGUCACCGCACUGAGUCACCACCUGAAGUGGGGCCUGGGGCUGCAGGGCCUCCGGGCCCCGGCUCGCCCCUCGGUCCUGUGCAUCCGGGCGGAGGGAGCCGCCUCCUGACAAUUCCUGCCACAUCGUGCAUUGCUUGUUUAAGUUAGACAAGAAAACAAAACCAGCCUGAGCGCGCGCUCCCAAUUCGGUUCCUGGACUGUGUUCAACCCGGUUUCCUGUAAGACGGAUCGGUUGCGUUGGCCUGCCCAGCUCCUUGCCCUGGCUUUCUCAACAGAAACAGCAGGCUCGCCUCCUGGCCUUAAAAAUCUGGUGGAUCCUGGUGGGGCUGCACCCACCCCCCCCAGGUGAUGACACAACCUACGGCUGGCCAAUCACAGAGCCCCAACCCGCAGGCUGGAGACUGAAGGAGGGUGGAGGUUGGCCCUUGCAGCAGCUGGGAGUUACAUCAGGUUCACCCUGGAGAGGAGAGAGCAGCCUUCUCACUGCCUUGGCACAGCUGACAACAGAGCCAUGUCAGGAGCAUGACAACAGAGCCAUGUCAGGAGCUGCUGGUGGCCGUGCUUCCCAUGCCCUGUCCUUGCCAGGAUGAAGCCAUCCUGAGCAAGAGAAAAUGAGGCCUGAGCUAGGAGAAAAGUGGAGAUGAGUGAUGCAGGGAAAGGCCUGGGAGGAGAGGGCAAAAAACUUGACAAUAUAAUUCGGGUGCCUGGACACAGCGAUCCCAUUGCCAACCUGCCCCCCGCCUUUGUACAAGGACCAGUAACUCUCCUUUUCUAGGUAAGCUAGAAUUAACUGGAUUUCUGUUGCCCAACCAAGGAAGCCUGAAUCAUAUAGCCAUUGAUCCCUGCAAAUGGAACUGCAGGGACCCUAAAAUGUGGAAUUGCCUCAGACAAGGUGGUGCAGAGCCACAAGGAUUCCUCUUUCCUGGAGGGAGAAGCUGGCAUUCCAGGCUAUGUGCUGUAGGCAGCCAGUUAGACCGUCACAAGAAGUCUAGGUCAACAGAUGUCAGGAUGUUGGAAUGGGUUGUCUAUGCACUACCAAAAAAGAUGCUUCCAUCAAAGUUGGGCUGUUUUGGGGCACCUGGGUGGCUCAGCGGUUUGGUGCCUACCUUUGGCCCAGAGCGUGAUCCUGGAGUCCCAGGAUCGAGUCCCACAUCGGGCUCCCUGCAUGGAGCCUGCCUCUCCUCCGUCUGC